ensembl:snRNA U6 U6 spliceosomal RNA
GUGCUCGCUUUGGCAGCACAUAUACUAAAAUUGGAACAAUGCUGAAAAGAUUAUAAUGGCCACUGCACAAGGAUGACAUGCAAAUUCACCUAGUGUUCCAUAAUUUU